GCAGUAGCUCAGGAGGUAGAGCGGGUUGGCUGGUAACCGGAAGGUUCCCCGGCUCCUCCUAGAGGGUCGAGGUGUCCCUGAGUAGGACACCACACUCUGACUACACUGACCUGGCGUGGUUGACCCCACCAUUGGUAUGUGGACGAGUGAAUGAAUGGUUGUAAGUCGCUUUGGAGAAAAGCAUUUGCAAAAUCCCCUAAUUAAUGGACUAAUGGAGCCGGAGAUGAGGCUGCUGGCUUCCUUCUAUGCAACGAUAUAUCAUAAGAAGUAUAACAUCUAACUGUCACUUUUGCAGUUUUUCUGAAAUUUUCUCAGGCUCAACUAUGAACACUUUAACAUUAUUAUUUCUUUCUACAAUUAAGAUGACAGUAUAUUUGUAAUGGGAAAAAUCUGUUUUCACAUUCUGUGUCUCUGAAUUUGUUGUGUUCAAUUUGUUGUGUUCAAUGAACCCCUUCGGGGGAAGUGUUCAAAGGCUGUUUUCCUGACCCCCCCGGGGGAAGAAGGGACAGGCCAAGGAUCCAGGGAUUCCACCAAGAUAUUCAAAACACACAUGUACAUACAUGUACACAUAUGUAAAUAUUUGUCUAAAAUGUAAAUAUCAUGGUUGUCCAACUUUUGAAACAUAUGGGUAGUUUUCUACUUAGUUUGGAUGCUCUUAUUCAGUUUACCCUUUGGUUUGAUGUUUUAUGAUUUCUCUAUUCAUUGAUACCAUUGUUGAUAUUUUGAACAGGCUUCUAGCCUCCAUUAACCUGAAAAUGCCAGUCAACUAGCUAUGCUAUGGUGCUUACCACUAGCUUGGUAAGCAACCCACUCGUUUCAUGUUCCAUUUCCUUUUAAUGCAACUUUUUUUGUUGAAUAAUCCUUUCUUUAACAGUACAACAACAAUGAAUAAAUACACUGAUUUUUACCUUGAAACCACAUCUUGGCUUCCCAUCGGUAGCAGUAUAGAAUAACUAUUUCCCCAUUAGUAAGCUAUUAAUAAGUCCUUUCAUUGGUGGAUCUUUAGGACUUUUGGCACUAGUCAGAGAAAAUAGAACCCAUACCACCCAAAACGUAUUGUUAAACUGGUAUAACUGUCAUUCAACACUCCACCCUUUCAUUUGUUUGGUUCUUCCCCUGGCAGUGUGCAAUUCGAUUUCAUCACAUAUGAGCAAGCAAACUUGUCAACAAGUAGUUACUUUGCAAGCUUCUUGGAGGAACAACGUCAUGUUACCAAAACUCUGCCAGCAGUAACAAACUUUAAAUAGUGUAUUUUCUAGAGCUGUCAGUUAAACGCGUUAUUAACGGCGUUAACGCAAACCAAAUUUAACGGCGUUAAAAAUUUUAUCGCGCGAUUAACGUAAUUUUUUUAUUAAAAAAAAAAAAAAAAAUUGGCUCAAAACAAAGAAGCAGUAGCCUGACUGCUAUGUUCAAAUGACAUUUGUUCAAAGCAGUCGUUUAUUUGCACUAUAGGCUCUUUUUUUGUAUCGUCCUGUUUUGAUCAGUAUAUGCCAAUGUUAUCAAUAGAAAAUCAUUUGCACAAGGCAAGCCGAUGCACUUCAUCAUGUUGAUAAGAGAAUUAAAAUGAGAAGAAUUAUGGGACAAAAAAAUCAAGGGAUAUUUAGCAUAGAAAAAGAAUUUGCGAUUAAUCGCGAUUAAUAAUAGUUAACUAUGACAUUAAUGCGAUUAAUCACGAUUAAAUAUUUUAAUCGCUUGACGGCUCUAGUAUUUUCUGAAGUGGCCACUGUAAUAUAAAUGUAAAGUACAUUUAUGAAAAUCCCCUACUGAAAGCCUCAUCCAAUCUUGUUAGGAUUUAUCUUAACGAAACAACAAACAAGGUGCCAAGGUUCCAAAUGUAGUUUUCCGGCCCAGGCACUGUGCCGCUCUGCCCAGAAGUUUUUCUCUAACAUACCAGGACUGCUGGAUCCGAGACGAUGCCAAGUCAAACACCUUCAAGUCAAGUUUAGAGUCAGUGAUUUCCAAAUCUAAGUAUAUUCUAGAUCAAAUUUUUUGUUAGCUUGUUUAAAGUGAUCAAAUGUGUGAUCCAAGUAAACUCA
rnacentral:lncRNA from 1 species